UAGGGAAUAUUGCUUAAUGGGCGAAAGCCUGAAGCAGCAACGCCGCGUGGACGAAGAAGGCCUUCGGGUUGUAAAGUUCUUUUAUAUGGGAUGAGGAAGGACAGUACCAUAUGAAUAAGUCUCGGCUAACUACGUGCCAGCAGCCGCGGUAAAACGUAGGAGACGAGCGUUAUCCGGAUUUACUGGGCGUAAAGAGCGUGUAGGAGGCAAUACAAGUUGGAUGUAGAAGCUCUCGGCUAAACUGAGAGAGGACGUUCAAGACUGUAGAGCUAGAGGAAGGCAGAGGUAGAUGGAACUCCGGGAGUAGUGGUGAAAUCCGUAGAGAUCUGGAGGAACAUCAGUGGCGAAGGCGACCACCUGGCCCGAUACUGACGCUGAGGUGCGAAAGCGUGGGUAGCAAACA
rnacentral:rRNA from 1 species